AAACCAGCACCUCAAGUGGUCAGGAUGAUUAUUGGGCCUAAAGCAUCCGUAGCCUGCUCUGUAAGUUUUCGGUUAAAUCCAUAUGCUCAACAUAUGGGCUGCCGGGAAUACUGCACAGCUAGGGAGUGGGAGAGGUAGACGGUACUCGGUAGGAAGGGGUAAAAUCCUUUGAUCUAUUGAUGACCACCUGUGGCGAAGGCGGUCUACCAGAACACGUCCGACGGUGAGGGAUGAAAGCUGGGGGAGCAAACCGGAUUAGAAACCCCAGUAGUCC
rnacentral:rRNA from 1 species